CAAGCCUUCGAAUAGCUGAAUGGUUAAUCUAGGAAUCAUUUGGUUCAGACAGAGGCUUAGAUUGAAACUGGGAUUACAUCCCUCGAACGAACCAGUUGGAUGGAUGAUGAGGGAUGUAUAAUUUUACCUAAAUCCUUCAAUUA
rfam:Spinacia oleracea cultivar SynViroflay scaffold7139.con0009.1, whole genome shotgun sequence.